GAUGAACGCUGGCGGCGUGCCUAAUACAUGCAAGUCGAGCGAACGGACGAGAAGCUUGCUUCUCUGAUGUUAGCGGCGGACGGGUGAGUAACAUGUGGAUAACCUACCUAUAAGACUGGGAUAACUUCGGGAAACCGGAUCUAAUACCGGAUGAUUUUUUGAACCGCAUGGUUCACAAGUUAAAGACGGUCUUUCUUUCACUUAUAGAUUGAUACGCGCUGCAUUAGCUAGUUGGUAAGGUAACGGCUUACCAAGGCAACGAGGCAUAGCCGACCUGAACGGGUGGACGGACAGACGGGAAGUGAGACAGGGCAGAGACACCGAGAGGGGGAAGCAGUAGGGAAUCUUACGGAAGGGAGGAGAGGGUGACGGAGGAAAGCGGCGGGAGGGAUGAAGGUGUUAGGAUCGGAGAGCGCUGUAAGCAGGAGAGAUGAAAAGCGUAAGUAACUGUGAUCAUAAUGACGGUACCUAGACAAUAAGCCACGGCUAACUACGUG
rnacentral:rRNA from 1 species